rnacentral:rRNA from 1 species
CCUACGGGAGGCAGCAGUGAGGAAUAUUGGUCAAUGGGCGCGACCCUGAACCAGCCAAGUAGCGUGAAGGAUGACUGCCCUACGGGUUGUAAACUUCUUUUAUAAAGGAGUAAAGUGAGGCACGUGUGCCUUUUUGUCUGUACUUUAUGAAUAAGGAUCGGCUAACUCCGUGCCAGCAGCCGCGGUAAUACGGAGGAUCCGAGCGUUAUCCGGAUUUAUUGGGUGUAAAGGGAGCGUAGAUGGGUGGUUAAGUCAGUUGUGAAAGUUUGCGGCUCAACCGUAAAAUUGCAAUUGAUACUGGCAGGCUGGAGUACAGUUGAGGUAGGCGGAAUUCGUGGUGUAGCGGUGAAAUGCUUAGAUAUCACGAAGAACUCCGAUUGCGAAGGCAGCUUACUAAACUGCCACUGACAUUGAUGCUCGAAAGUGUGGGUAUCAAACAGGAUUAGAUACCCCGGUAGUC